CCAUCAAAGAGACUGUGAAAUGUGUGUAUCUGUUUCAUAUAUCACAGCCACCUUUGAUGAGCU
rnacentral:pre_miRNA from 1 species